rnacentral:rRNA from 1 species
AACGAACGCUGGCGGCGUGGAUUAGGCAUGCAAGUCGAACGCGAAAGAGGGAGCAAUCCCUCGAGUAGAGUGGCGAACGGGUGAGUAACGCGUGAAGAACCUGCCUUCAACAGGGGGAUAACACUCCCAACGGGGUGCUAAUACCGCAUGAGACCACGGGGUCGCAUGACUCUGAGGUCAAAGGUGGCCUCUAUUUAUAA